CGGGAAUACAAGAGGAGAGCGCUCGACAGCUUCGUAAAAUCCGGUUUGUGAGAGUCGCGGCCAUAUUUGAAGAUGGCAGGAAAGUAAAGUAGUUUCUGCUAUUUAGUAUGCCAUGCUGACAGAAGAAGCAUUAGUGGUGUUGGACAACCUGUACUCUUUGCGAGUUCUUGAUAUCUCAGCAUUUGACUCCAGAAGCUAUACUAGCUUUUAAAAAGAUUACAUGCAACAGAGUUUUUUUAAUACUCAAAAAGCCAAGUGAGAAUGCAAAAUACUGCUGCUGGUGAUGGAGAUAUUUUCCCUAAAAGUUGGGAUUCCUUGUCUAUCAUCUUUACAUACAACUUCAGAUUGCUGACAAACUGUGCUUAUGAAACUAUUUAUAAAGAAUUUGAAUCUGGUUUUAUUUAUUUUGUAAUCUUAUGCAAUAGCCAAAAUCAUCAGGACAAAGACCUGGAUUUAUUAUAAUUUUUAAAAUAAAAUCUUUUUUUUUUCAUGAUUUAUAAAAUUAGAAUUUAAGUAUAAAACAGGGUCAUUGUAUGCAAUCUGCUAAGAGCAAUAAAGAGCUACAAAAA